rnacentral:rRNA from 1 species
UCCAACCUCCCACCCGUGUUUAUUUUACCUUGUUGCUUCGGCGGGCCCGCCUUUACUGGCCGCCGGGGGGCUCACGCCCCCGGGCCCGCGCCCGCCGAAGACACCCCCGAACUCUGUCUGAAGAUUGAAGUCUGAGUGAAAAUAUAAAUUAUUUAAAACUUUCAACAACGGAUCUCUUGGUUCCGGCAUCGAUGAAGAACGCAGCGAAAUGCGAUACGUAAUGUGAAUUGCAAAUUCAGUGAAUCAUCGAGUCUUUGAACGCACAUUGCGCCCCCUGGUAUUCCGGGGGGCAUGCCUGUCCGAGCGUCAUUGCUGCCCUCAAGCCCGGCUUGUGUGUUGGGCCCCGUCCUCCGAUUCCGGGGGACGGGCCCGAAAGGCAGCGGCGGCACCGCGUCCGGUCCUCGAGCGUAUGGGGCUUUGUCACCCGCUCUGUAGGCCCGGCCGGCGCUUGCCGAUCAACCCAAAUUUUUAUCCAGGUUGACCUCGGAUCAGGUAGGGAUACCCGCUGAACUUAAGCAUAUCAAUAAGCGGGAGGA